GGUAUUUUGCCAAUUUUUUAAUUAGGUUUUUCAUUUUCUUAUUCUUGAGUUUUAAGUGUUCUUUGUACAUUUUGGAUAGCAUUCCUUUAGCUGACAUGUCUUUUGCAAAUACCUUUUCCCAGUAUGUGGUUUGUCUUUUCAUUCUCUUAACAGUGUCUUUGCAGAUCAGAAGUUUUUAAUUUUAAUGAAGUUUAGCUUAUUUAUUGGCUCUUUCAUGGAUCAUGCUUUUUGGUGUUGUAUCUAAAAAGUUAUUGUCAUACCCAAGGUGGUCUAGGGGUUUUUCCUUUGUUAUCUUCUGAGAAUUUUAUAGUUCUGCAUUUUACUUUUAGGUAUAUGAUCCAUUUUGAGGUAAUUUUUGUGAAGGGUUUAAGGUCUGUGUCUAGAUUCUUUUUUUGCAUGUGGAUGUCCAGUUGUUGCAGUGCCAUUUAUUGAAAAGAUUGUCUUUGCUCCAUUGUAAUGCCUGUGUUCCUUUGUCAAAGAUCAAUUGACUGUAUUUGGGUCUAUUUCUGGGCUCUCUGUUCUGUUCCAUUGAUCUAUUUAUUUACUCUUUUGCCAAUACCAUGCUGUCUUGAUAACCAUAGCUGUAUAGUAAGUGUUGAAAUCAGGUAGUAUUAGUCCUCUGACUUUGUUCUCUUUCCAUAAUGCGUUGGGUGUUCUGGGCGUUUUUCCUUCCCUAUACAAAUUUUAAAAUUAGUUUAUUGAUAUCUGUAAAAUAACAUGCUGGUAUUUGGGUAUGCAAUAGUUUAUCUGUUCACUUAUUGAAGGACAUCUUAGUUGCUUCCAAUUUUUGGCAAUUAUUAAUGAAGCUGCUAUAGACAUUUGUAUGUAGGUUUUUGUGGGAGCAUAAGUUUUCAACUCAUUUGAGAGACACCAAGGAGGGCAAUUGUUGGAUCACAUGGUAUGACUAUGUUUAGCUUUGUAAGAAACUGCCAAAGCUUUAUUUAUUUAUUUAUUUAUUUGCAUUUAUUCAGAGACUGUUAGUUAUAAUGUAACUAACAUGGUUAAUCCUCAAAAUAAACCUCUGGAUUGGGAGUCACUAGCCUUGCCUUCUGGCUAACAUUAUUAAAAUUUACUGCUGAAAGGAACCAUGAAUUUCCCUAAGUCUCUAAGCUUCUUGAGUGCAAGAUGUGCCUCACUCAGCACUGUACUUCCAGGGUUUCCAUGGCGCGGUGAAUAUAACAGGUGCUCAAUUAAUGUUGAUUACACAUUGAGUAUUGAUGAAGGGAAAAUAACUUCUCUGUACAGAUGAGAACACAUAGAUCCAAAAAAGAGAAGUGAGCUGCUUUUGGCCAAACAGCAUUUGAUAAUACUAAUAGCAGAACCAAGGCUAAAAUCGAACUAUCGCAUCUUGUAGAUCUGUGGACCUAUUUUGAGCCACCAGUCCUUGGCUCACUAAAUUCAAGCAAGACAAGCUGUAGGACUCUGGAACCCAUAGUUAGUGCUAUAUUCAACAUCUUCUCCUCACUUUCAAACUGACUCAUUACUCAGUAACACUACCAGUUGCCCAAAGAUUCCCAAAAUGGUGUUCUCAUCUGAGUACAAGGCCAUUGUACCUACAAAGUCUCACAAUAUAAAAAUAAUGAUAAUAACAGUGACAACAAAAAUAACAAUAGCCAAGGAUUUGACUUUUUAGUAUUAUCAGGCACUUUACAGAUACCAUUUCAUUUCAUGCUCACAGUGACCUCUUGCUUAAGUACCACUACUAGCCACAAUUUAGAGAUAAGUACAUCGAGUCUUAGGGAAAUUAGGUAACUUGCCCAAGAUCCUACAACUGUUAUUGGUAAAGCCAAAUGUCGGUCUAUCCAUUCUUGACUCCACUUAGCAAUGUACUACGCCACAGUUAAGAUGGUGAGAUUUAGCGUCAGACGGACCUGGGUUAGCAUCCUAGAGCUGCCACAUUGCCAGCUGUGUGAUCUUAACCUUGUGACUCUAGCCGCAGCCUUCCCAUCAUGGUGCUGGUUAUUCCUACCCUUGGCAGAUACUGCUGUUGCCAUCUCGAGAGCCAUUGUCCCGCACUGUACAGAACCCUUAUAUGUUCAAGUGGUGGGAAGGAGGCCCCAGAUGUCAGGGAAGCUAGGCCCCUGUCCCAGCCUCAUGAGAUGAUUUGUGGUUGGUUCAAAGUAGAUAUGGAAAUGGUGGGCAUGUUAUCCAGUCUUGUUAGUGGAAGUAUGCUAGGGAGGGAGUCUCUUCCCAAAUAAAAAGACAAUGCCUCUCACAGAGGAAGCUCAUUACUCUUAUCCUUCCUUUCUGCCUGGAUCUUGGAUAUAAUACCUGAAGGUGCAGCAGUUAUUUUGUAAGCAGGGGGUGACAAACCAAUAGACUGAGAUGGUGGAGCAGGGAAGAUGGAAACACACUGGACCUUCGAUAGCACUGUUAAGCCAUUCCAUCAGUCCAAGGCAGGAGACUACCUCCAGGCUUCUUGUUAUGUGAAACAAAUCCCGUUGUUUAAGUUGCUCUAAGUUGGGCUGUGUCUUAUUUGAAGCUGAAAGUACUUUUAAUAGAUAACACAAAUUUCCAGCAAAACACAGUGUUCGGUACCUUAGCAUGGCACUUAAGAGCCCAGAUUCUAGAGCCGGAGUUCCUGGGUUCUAAACUUGGCUCUGUUGUGUGAAUUUGGACAAGUCACUGAACUUCUCUCUGCCUCACUUUCCUUAUCUGUAAAAUGCUCAGUAAAUGUGUGUUGAGUACUGAAUGAAGAAGAACAGCAGUACCAAACUAAUAUGACUGUUCGGAUCUUUAAAUGAGUAAACAUUUUAUGAAUGAUUAGGACACUGCCCAUGACAUAGUGGCUGCAGAUGUGUCUGUGAAAAUAAAAUUAAAAGAAAAGUAGUCACUAUUAUAGGCUUGGGUUUGCAUCUUGGUCCCAUCAUUGGGCCACUUGUGGUAUUUAAGCAGAACCUUGACCCUUUCACUUCUGAGAUUCAUGGAGCAUGAAACCCCCCCUAAAAUAUGUCUCAAAGCAGCCACAGUGAUAGUUUCUUUUUGACAAAAAAGGGCUCUUUAGAGAAUGUUGGCUUGCAAAGAAGGAGGGGCUGUGACUACCAAGUCGUGUCACCAAGUGAAUGACCAAAAUACCCAAACUUACCCAUGCAAAUGGUCUUGGGUCUCUCCUGGCAACCCCUUUAGAAGGUUCUAGAUCUAUUUUUGAACUCCUUUUUGAAAGGGUCUUUCCAGUUAGUGGCUAACUCUUUUGAACCUCCUCACAUCUUUCUUGCCAGGGGGCGGGUGUGGGAGAGAAAGGGCUAGUGCCCAUGUCCCUGCCCUUUCCACGCAGUGGGGGACAAGACCCCCAGCCCCUGUGAGGAGCCACUGUGAUCUGGGUCUCUCUCACUUUCUACUGCCCAAAUCGCCACCCUCUGUAGAGGUCACAUUUGAAUCUGGCCAAUAACCAAGCAUUAUUUUGAAAUAUACCUCGUUCAUGGAGUUAAGCACUAUACUGGUAGAUGUGACCAUUAGCAUUAGCAAAGCCUGUGUAGUCUGUGCCCUUCCCUCCCCUUCUUACCCUCCCCACCAAUGACAAUGCAGACAAAGCCACCAGCACCUUUGGCCUGGAUUCCUGCAGGAGCCUCCUAACCCAUCUUCAUGUUUCUACCCCACCCUUCAUUCUUACUCAGCAACCAAAGGGAUCCUUUAAGAAUCUAAACCAAACCUUGGGAUUCACCCACUUAAAACUCUCUCAUGAGUCUCAUCUCAGAGUAUUACAAAUCCAGAGUCCUUUCUGAGCCCUACAAGGCCUGCCCUUCCUGCCACUUUCCCGCUUGCUCGCUGCAGUCCCCACACCGGCCUCCUUGCUGCGCACCGUCUGGCCUCAGGGCCUUUGCACAUAAUAUCUCCCUUUUCCAGAAUACUCUUUGUCCUGCACACCUGCCUGGCCCAUUUCCUCACUUCGCUCUGGUCUCUGCUCAGAUGUCAACUACCAACUGACCACCCCUCUAAAAUAGGUUCUCUGCGCCUCAUUUUCUACCGUUAUCCUUAUAACGGUUAUUCUUACCGUUAUCCGCUGACAUGGGGACAUUAUUACAGAUUUGGUGAUUUUUGCAUCCCCCCACCAGAAUACAAGCCAAGUGAAGAAAGAGGCAUUGUUUUGUGCAUCAGGGUAUCCACAGAUACCAAAACAUUCUGUAGCGGCACUCACUAAAUAUUUAUUAAACUAAAUAAAGCCAUUUUCGAUUAGAAAUAAGAUAUGCCUGACAAAGUUCUAAGCCUGAUAUUUCUCGCAAGCCUGCUAAGGUGGUCCUGAAACCACUUCCCGGGACGCUCCACAUAUGUUCUUCACAAUGAGAGCAACGCUGGCCCCGUGUCUGAGGUCUCAAAGCGAAUACUUUGCAAUUGAAGCUACAUGACUAGUCCUCUUAAAUCUGUUCAAAGGCCUCCUCUUUGCAUUUACUUCACGGUCUCCCUUUCUUUGCUCCUGGGCACCAGUCGAGCCAUCCCAAAUACGGGGUCUUUGUACCAGUCAGACCAGGCUGUCCAUUUGUGGUGGUUUGAAAACAAAAUUCUCUCGUACGUUGAUGUUCUUCCCAUUGAAAGAUGGAUCUGCGUCUUUUCCCUUGAGUCUGUGCAGACCUGUGACCGCUUCUCACAGCUCCCGCAUGGUUUUCUUGGUGUGCUCCUUCUAGGGGAAGCACUGGGACUGUCCUGCGGAAGAGGCCCCUGGCGGGUGCUCUGGAGCUUGCAUGGAGCUUCCGGCGGCAGCAAGCGUUGGCCGGCGGCCACGCCAGAGGCCAUCUUGGACUUGUGGGCCCUUUGUCUUUCAGAUGAGCACAGCCUAGCGGACACGUGACUACAAGGGCAUGGAAAACCCCAAGUGAGAACCACUCAGCCAAGCCCCGGACCCAAAACUCAGAAGCAACAUAAAACGAUUAUUAUUUUACAACUAAUUAUUAUUUUUAUAUUAUUAUAAUUAUUAUAUUACAACUAAGUUUUGCAGUGAUGUGGAAUCUGCAGUAGUGAGGAGAAUCCCACCCUAACUCUUCCUUCUUUCUACACACUAAGCUAGGUAAUCUUGAGCAAAAGUUUUUUAGCACUCUGUAAAAAGAAAAUCUGCAUCAGAUUUCUCAUCUGCAGGUUAGGAAUGAUAAUAUAUAUUCAUGUGGUUGUUGUUUAGAGAGAGGCAAGUUUUGUUUUUCUCUAAACAUGCUUCUCAGCACAUAGGAAAGUUUCUCAAAUCUAAGAUGCCAUCGUUUGUACGACUCACUGUUAAUUUAUGUGCACUAAGAAAUAAACGCUUCCAGUUAAACUACUGCAUGACACUGGUUGUAGGACACAUCUAUUUUGGAGAUGUUGAAAUUUGAAAAGUCAUACAUCUUAAAAUCUUUGAUUUAAAGUCUGAGUAACACAAAUGCCUCGUCAAGCCCAGACACAAAACAAGACCCUCAAGAUCCGAGAGUUUGUGAGCGGUCAGAGGAGAGCCUAAAGCAAAUGCACCUUUGCAUUAAAGUCUCCAACCUGUCGUCCUGUUUUAUACAAUAAAACACAAAGAUUAGUAGGGAAACCAUUGCUGUCCAGGCAGAAAGCGCUUUCGCUGGGCAGCUGUCAAAUGGUUAGAGUUCAAAUGACAUUGCAUCACAGUUAUUUAGCAGAAAUGUGUUUUGCAAAAGGGAUGAAGUCAGAUCCCUAAAUGUGGCUGAGAGUUGACGAGUUGUAUUCAGCGGGAACUCAUCUCUAGUGAUGGUAAUAGUCCAAGCCUCUCGUUCUCUUUGGUUCCUGAGACGUUCCUUUUUUAGGACAUGAACUAGUUAGUAGCUCCUUGAGAGAUGCCAGCUGGUGGGUGGAAGGGGUCCGGGCAGCGGGCAGAAGGAUGACACUGGAGACACAGGACACAUCUGGUGGAGUUGAAACAGAUAGGAGUCUUGCUAUGUUGCCCAGGCUGAUCUCAAACUUCAGGCCUCAAGUGAUCGUCCCAACUCAGGCUCUCAAAGUUCUGGAAUUACAGGUAAAAUUCUAAGUAAGCAGCACAAGAUCCAUCACCAAAUCAAGCCUCACCCCACACCUGGACAGCCCCCUCAGAAAAGUUGGGGGUCCUCAGAGUGGAGAGUGGGGUGGGACCUCACUUUGGCAGAGAUCUUCCUGUUUAAGUAUGGAUCUGGUGAAAGCCCAGGGGCUCAGGGCGGAGUUCAGUGUUAACUCAUUAUCCCAGCUCCCUGUGCAGACUGGGCAGUGAGUGGCAUGCUCAGGACUUGGGCUGUGUACUUGGCCACAGUUGACCUUCACCUUUAGCACCAGCAGAGAUGGAGAAAGUUGUUGGAACAGGGUUGGGGUUGGCGCUGACACUAUCAAAGGCCUCCUUUGUGCCAAGCACUGAGCGAGUUUCCUCAUUUCCAAAUAUUUGGGGAUUUUUGAAGCGUCUACUGUUGUUAACAUCUAACUUUAAUUUAUUUCCAUUAUUCUCAGAAAAGAUGCUGUGCAUGACUCCAGUCCUUUGAAAGUUUAGAGACUUAUUCUAUGGCUCAGCAUAUGGUGGUGAACGUUGCAAGUGCACUGGAAAAGAAUGUGGCCUCUAAAUAUCAAUUGUGAGAAGCCCAGUUCUCGGCCUGGUAUAGAGUCAUUGUUCAAGAAAACCUCAUUCUUUCAUUUAUUGCCAUGACUCCCAAAUAAAUCCACAAGCAAGAGGCAGUUUUGCUAGUCGUGUAGUGGUUUCUAAAGAGGCUGUAGUCUUCACUCUGCGGCAUGCCCAGAGGAGGAGAGAGGGAAAAACUCCAUGUGGGUGAGAAGGCACGGCCAGGCCCUGACCCCAGAGGGCAGAGGCUGUGCCAACGUGUCCUCCAUGUGGCCCAAAUAAGAAGAAAAGGCCAAGAAUUCUAAACAGAUCUCUGAAGCCAAGGGAAAAUGCCUAGGGAUUUGCUCAAGGAAGGAAAAUUUACCCAUGGAAAUGAGAGAAUCUGUGUAUGGUAAAACUCUUUCUUUUCUCUUCAUGCAUGCAUCCAACAGGUAUCAGAGACCUACUGUCUUAGUCCACGCAGGCUGUUAUAGCAGAAUACCAGAGGGGAAAUUUAUUUCUCACAGUUGUGGAGGCUUGGAAGUCCAAGAACAAGGCGCCAACAGAUUCUGUGUCCGGUGAGGGCCCAUUUCUGGUUUGUAGAUGGGUCCCUUCUUGCCAUGUCCUCACACGAUAGGUGGGGGAGGGGAGCUCUCUGGGGUCCCUUUCAAAGGUACUAGUCCCAAUCAUGAGGGCUCCACUCCUAAGACCUAAUUCUCUCCUAGAGGCCAUACCUCCUGAUACCGUCACCUUGGGGUUAGGAUUUCAGCAUAUAAAUUUGGGGGAACGAGGACACAAACAUUCAGUCCAUAACUAGGAUACAAAGACAUAACAUUGCCCCUGCCCUAGAAUUUUCAGGCCAUGAAGGAGUACAGAUAAUUAAACACAAUUAUGCAUAGCACAGUUAUGCAUAUUGCACUUGUGCACAACUGUGCAUAUUACACAGUUAUGCAUAUGCACAGUUAUGCAUAUGACCCCACCAUAGCAGGGGGCAGGGGUCAUAUAUACAUUAGAAGAGAAUCACUCCUUUGUGUCUCCCUUUUUCUUCCACUGUUACACACAUUGCAGACAAACCAGGAUUUCCACAGGGAAGUUGAAAGGGGGAAACAACAUGAUCCUAUCUGUAAACCUCUCAAAAACCUUUAGAAAAUGAUUUUAUGAAGAGCAAGAGAAAUGUGAGUUCUCUAGGGCCUGGAACACCAGGAUCAGAGAAGACUGGAAAAAAAAUUUUUUUUCUUUUUUGGUAUUGUUAAACUCGUUUGGCAAAUUGGGAAAGUUAUGGACACCUUUUCAGAAUAAUGCUUUUAAAAAUGCAUAUAAUAAAAUCCUCAGGAUUGUAAAGAAAGCCAAUUAUGCUGAAGUUUAGUUCUAUACGCGGACCUUCCCCUCCACCUCCCCCAACCUGUGGGAGUGGGGGACCCAGAGAUUUAUUGAGUCGUGAAGAGGUAUUUUUCAGACAAAGAAAAAUGUUCUUUUCUGAGAUUGAUAAUUCUACAUUUAUGGAAUUGUUUACCUCCAAGGAGGUCCCGACUGGAGGAGUUACUUUCAAUUAAUUUUCUGAAACUCGGCAGAAGACUGUGUCGUUACUACCUGCCUUUUGUGAGCUCAUGGUUUCUGUUUCUUUUCUCACCAGAUUGUGUGCCCAGACUUCCAGAAAAUGGGCACAUUGAGUUGGUUGAAUUGUCUGCCCUUUGAAUUUCCCUUGUUUCCUGGGACUGACUUUGACGGGGGAAACCCAGGGGCUAGAUUAUCAGAGAGUGUGUUUUUUUCAGAAAGGGUCACUUGUUAGAAUUUGGAACCCUUGUUGGGAAUUCACCGAAUAGAGUGUGCAGCCCAGGAGGAUGGGGAGCUGAGGAAAAGCCUGAGGUUCAGGAAGAACCCCUGUUAUACUCUGGGAGGUAGCAGGGGCUGUGUAUCCCGUGAGAUCCAACCCUAGUUAUGGAGGACCUACUGGCAGCCUCUCUAAAUACAUCCCCCCUGCUCAUUAUCACCCUAGACCUGGGAGUCGCCAUGAUACCAGUGAGACCACAGACCCUGAACACAGUGAAUCCAAGGCCAUUGAGCUAGAAGUAGUGGAGCUAAGAUCUGAUUCCACAUAACCCAAGUUCCAAGAUCUUUGUUUUUUCUCAUUGCCGCAUACCCAGCUGCCUGCAGCUUGUGGAGUCAGGUGGCCUGAGUUCCAAUCUCAGCUCCUCCAGUAAAUGGCUCGAUGGAUGAUCUGAGCUCAGUUCCUGGUCCUCAGGUUCCCCAUCUGUAAAAUGGGGAUAAUUUUAUCACCUUCCCCACAGACCUUCCUGGGCGAUUAGAGAAACAGUGUGCAUAAAGGAGAAAUAGUGUGUAUAAAGGAGAAAUAGUGUGUAUAAAGGUCUGAGCACACGUGCCUGACAUGUGAGUGCUCCAUAAAUGUCGUUACUGUGAUUAUUAUUAGUCCGGCAGGACUGGGAGGCGUGUUAGGGGGUCCCUGGGGUGCAAUCACUCUUCUGUUUACUCCCUGGACUGUCCCUGUCUGGCAGGCGUUCAGGAGUUUGUUUUUCUCGUCCGAGGGUUGCCUGGUGUUGCGCAGUGACCAGCAGGGCCGAGAUGGUUAUACAACCCUGCGUGCUGCGCCAAGUCUGGCACUCGCCCGGCUAAGCCCGCGCUGCCCUGGGCCAGAGGACGGCCCCUCUUCAGGCUGCUUUCUCACGCGGGAGCGGCGUGACCUUUCCUCGGAGCUGUCCUCCAGUGUUCCCGGCUCCCUGCACACGCCGCACCCCCACCCCUAACCCCACACGCCCUUCGCAUUCUUGCCCGGGGGUGGGUGGGGCCCCAGUGACUCCAGGGCAGUUGCUUUCCCCUCUUCCCUGUCCCUUUCCUGCUAAGUCUCUGUCUCCAGGGACGCCGCCCGGACGCCAGAGGGGCAUGCCGGAGAAAGACGGGAAGGUGUUGGAGAAAACAGCCUGUGUUUAAGAAAGCAACCUGUGAGGAAAGAGACAGACGGGUGGAGGAAGGAGAGAGAGGGUGGCUCUCAGCCAUCAGAGGUGGGGCGUCCUGGGCAGCGCGAAACAGAACAGAAAGAACAGAGUCCCAGCGAGUGCUCCCUCCCAUCCUGCCAAAUGCCCCUCCAUGGAGUUCUUCCACUGGCUCCAGCUGGAAUAAUAUAUACAUAUAUAUGUAUAUAUAUUUCAACUUUUUUUCUUUUUUAAUCUUUUGAUUUUUUUUUCUGUUUUGGUUAUUUGUUGCCAUGUUUUUUUUAAGGAGAAGACUAUGCCUCUACAUUUUUAUUGACACACAGCCAUGCUUGUUCAUUUAUGUAUCGUCUAUACAAGCUGUAGAUGGUGCAUACAGCUUUCGCUGGAUAAUGGCACAGUUGAUGACAUAGCCCACAAAGCCAAAAUAUUUAAGUCCUGGACCUUACAAAAAAAGUUUUGCCAAUCCCUGGCCUAUGAAACAGGAGCAACGACGUAUACCUACACACCUGCCCACUGUGUGUGGGUGAAAUGUUAGUUAAGUGCCUCGUACCAAGUGGGCACUCAAGAAAGGUUUGUUCUUCCACUUUCUGUCCCUCCCUGUCUUAAUUCACUUUCACAGAGAGGGCUCUUGUAUUUCAGGGUCCCAGCCACAUAACCCAACCUGUUUUUGUAAAUAAGGUUUUAUUGGAACACAGCCAUGCCCAUUUCUUUACACAUUGUCUGUGUCUGCUCUCCUCUUACAAUGGUAGAGUGGGUAGUUGGAGAGAGAUACAUGGCCUGCAAAGCUGUACAGUAAAGCAGUAAAACUGUGGCUCCUCCUCUGGUGGUGAUCACAGGUGAUCAAGGUGAUCACACAUACUAUUUUCCUCCUGUUGGCAGGUGUCUUGGACAGUUACAAGUGGAAAACAAGUGGCCAGCUUAAGAAGGACAGAACAACAAGCUCUCAGAUUCCUAAGCACUGACCAGAGUGCCAGGAACCACUGAAGGCUGAGGAGUUCAUGGAGAAGAGUGCAGCUCCUGGGGACAGGAGCUCUGUCAAGGUGCAACCUGCCAGUCAAGAUUUCCAGGGGUGGAGCCUGGUCCCGUCUGUCUCGUUCGUGGCUUAGGAUAUAGUGAAUGCUUUGUAAAUGUUUGGUAAAGGACAGAUGCGGUGUCACCCGUUAUGAAUGAUACUCUGCUUGCUCUCCUCAGAGGCUCCAGCCCCAUGUGCUUAUCAAACUGCCAGCAAGUGGGCCUGGGGCUCAGAGAAAAGAGCUCCUAGUGGGCCCAGUCUGUCCUCCCCCCGGACUGCCAGUCUUGCCAGGUUUCCUGCACACUGCUUGUCCUGGGUCUCAUCGCCAAGUCCACCCCAUUCCCAGAGCUCUCCCCACUGCAGUCUUUACCCCUAUGCGGUGCAGAAAGCCACUGUCAUGCCCCACCUUCAACCAUACCUACACCUCUAGGGUCACCUUUAGUCUAGAUCAGGGGCCCUUAAACUAUGGCUUCCGGGCUAUUCUGGCCAGUGGUCUGUGCUUAUAAGGACCUUGAGCUACACUUCUAAAGAGUUGAAGAGUAAAAAAAGAAUAUGCAACAGAGACCAUCUGGCUAGCAAAACCUAAAUUAUUGACCUUCUGGCUCUUUACAUAGAAGGUGUGCCCAGCUCUGGUCCAGGUGGUGCGAACUGUGCCCAGAUGCCCUUCUAAGGCUUCAACCGCAUCAACCGUAUGGACAGUUUUCUUUUCUCUUAUCAACAAUGAAGCAGAUGCAAUUAUCAUUCCUCGUGGGGAUGGGGAAGCUGAGGCAUGGAGCGGUUAAUUUACUUACCUGAGAAUCUAGUAAGUGGCAGAGCCAGAAUUGAAACCCAGGCAGUCGAGGUUGGAGUCCCUGCUUCUUAUCCACUAUGGCACCUUGCCCCUGCAUAUGGCCACAGUCAAGUCUUAGAGCUCUCCCUUUUAGCUUCUGCCCUCUCCUGACCCACAGCUGGUAGACAGGUGUUUUGCACCCCAGCCUGCCCUGAGCCACCCCCUCCUUAGAGAUUUCCUGCAGGGACCCUGACACGGCUCUGGGGCCUCCCUCCCUUCCUGCCCCGCCUGGCACCUGGAACCCUGCUCCAAUCUGCUGCUCCUGAGACCGGACACUUCUCCACGAGCCAAGCCUGAAGUUGUUACCCUCUUUGGACCUCGGGGCCUCCCUGCCUGGAGCAGUUCCUGUGUCCCCUCUCCCUUCUGCCUGCCCCAUCUCCUACCCUGUCCCUCCAGGAAGGAGCUGGAUUCAGUUCUCCUCCUGCCCUUAGGAAGACAAGCCCCUGGGUUUAGAGCGUCACAAAGAAUAGUGUGCUUGGAGGCUGAGGAGGUGGGACGGUGCCUCUGUGUUCAACAGCCCUAUGCAGGGGUGCAGAGGGAGGGGUACGAAUGGAAAGACAGCUGCCAAGGGGAACAGAGAGCUUCUCAGAUCGCCCUCGUCCCCUCCCUACCUCACCAUCAGGGCUACGACUGCACCGCCCUUCUGGUGGGGGCCCUCAGCCCCAGGUGGAAAUCACGGUGCACAGAGUGAAGGUAGAGAGGCCAUUGUCCGGCUGUGUGACCUCGGGGAGGUCACUCAACACUCUGUGCCCCACUUUCCUUGUUUCUAAAACGGUGAUGAUGAUGAUGAUAGCUCCCCGGCAAGGCUUUAUAUUAGAGAUGAUAGGGUUCCCGGCACAUAUCGGGUGCUCGGUAUGAAACUGUCUUCUGCUCGCUCUUCAGUCCACCCCUUCUUGGGAGAGGUUUCCUCUGUGCUGGGCAGGCUGGCAGCCCCCACUUCCCGCUGGGCACAUCCCUGUGAAUGUGAUCCCUGCUGCCUUCUGCCCAGGCCUCCCCACCCCGCCGAUCCUCAGCGCCUGUGGGCAGGGACUGCUGUACCCUCCUUCUGUUACCCAGCGGGAGUGAGCUCCUGCAUGAUUUGACAUGGAAUCGUUACUUGCUCACACUAGUGAGUGGUCACUUCUCCAGAAAGCAGCAUUUCUGUCCUUUUCUCAUUAAUUUCACUAAACUGAUCUCCCUUUGACCUUGCAACAAUCCUGUGGGAGAUUCAUUACCCCAUUUUACAGACAACUGACACUCCAAGAUGCAAUGGCUCCUGCUGUGGCACUCAGCCAACCAGUGGGGAGUGGCCGCACUGCCCCCGGGCCCAAGCCCUCUCACUCCGACCCCGUUCUCCAUGUCCUGUUGCAUAUGGUAGCACCUGCACUCGUGCAUCCCUGGGUGAUACAGACCUGUGAGCUCCUGCUGGGUCUCCCGAGGAAGGAUGCUGUCGGGGAUGCUUUGGAUGAAGGGAGUGGAGGCCAAGGAGUCUUUAGGGCAAGGCCAGGCAGGAGGGGCCUCUGAAGGGCCCAGCCACAGUUGCAUUUCUCCCUCUGAGACCUGAAGAGGCAGCACACUUGUGAGGGGUCUAGGGCCGCUGCCUAGCAUCACUGUGGGCAAAUGGCAGCAGGAAAUGCCCUUCCACCCUGCAUGAACCCCUCAGACCCCACCUCCGCUCCUUCUGGAAGCCUGGCCUGAACACUCGCCUGCCUCUUCUGUGGUAAUCACUACUGACCUUGCAGCUUAUGACGGAUUUAACGUGCAUGCAUAAAUAUACUUUUAAUGACUUUUUUUCUUGUUCCAAAAAUGGUAAUCACUGUAGAAAAUUUAGAUAAACAAAUAUAACCAAAUUAAUACCAAUAAUCACCCAGUCAAAUAUAACCAGCUCACAUUUUGGUGUAUGAUCUUCCAGUACAUUUUCAAUGUACAUAUGUAUAUUAGAGGGAGGAGAUUAUAUUUUACAUGCUGUUUUCAAAACAUGCUUUUUAAAUUAAGACUGUCAUAAGCAUCCUUCUUUAUAAUUAAAUAUUCUUCUACAGCAAGUUUUGCUAAUGGCUUCCUUUUGUUUUUUCUUUCAUGCUCAUUGUUGUGCUAUGUGCAUGUUCAGCUUCCUCAGUUACAU